AAGCAUCUUUCUUUUUCCUUGUUCAUUCGUCAAUCAUAGUGAGCAUUGAUUAUUAUUAUUAUGUUCAUUGGUUCGUAGGUUGUUUGUCAGAUUAUCCACUCUAGACUGAGAGACCAUGUAAGUGACGGUGGUGGUUUCAUCAUUCCUAUAUAUAACCCCACCUUUGCAACUCUAGUUCAAGGAGGUAAGAACUAUCUACAGGCCUGCUUGGCUUGUCGAUCAUCGUUCCACUCUGCUACCGUGAGCUCUUCGAUUUAUCUUUGAUCAUAUGGCGCUAGCGCGGCAACAUCAAAUGAACUUUACUAGCACUCGCUCAAUGGUUGUAUCAAAUCAUGGCCAUCAUCAACUGAACAGUCUUGGUGGCCGAAUAGCCUUUUCACAUUCAUCUUCAGUCAUUGCCUGGUAGUUGCUUUGCGAUGGAGAGUCGAAUGUGAGUUUAAUCGAAUGUGAGUUCUUUUUGUGUAGCAGCUUGGCCAGGAUCGUGAACAUCGACGAGAUCGGUAGUUCACGUAAUGGUAGUAAAAUUAGUAAUAUGGCAAUAAAACUGACAUUUAUGCAUUAUCAAUGAAUCUUAAUUAAUGUGU
rnacentral:sRNA from 1 species